ACACUUUAUUUUCUAUGCCUACCUGCUAUCACAAUACUUACAUUAAUAAAUUAAGUGUUAAAGAACCGUUGUAUUCUAAAAAUUUAAGCUGCUCCUCACGUCUGUACUUGAGAUUUUUUUUUUUUAGUCGGUUCAUAACGUGGGCUUGAAUUAGACGGAAAAAAUCUAAUAUGCUAGAACUCUGGCAUGACUCGAAUUCAAAAUUUCCUACUUGAUACCAUAUUAAAAAAUCAUUGUAAUCUAAAAAUUUAAACGGUUAGAAAAUGAUUUUCAUAUAUUUUUAUAUUUAAUAUUAAGUUAAAGAAAAAAAUAAUAAUAAUUGGCCAUGUUGCGACACAAUUGGCGAGCACUGCUGCACCAGAGCGCGUUCACACAACUGGCACACGCGCUUUUUGUGUGGAUGGUGAUCAAAGAUGAACUUUUAACGGUCAUUAUUCGCGAGACCAUAUUCCCGUAAUUAUGCGGACGCAAUAUCCCAGUUGGUGUAUGACACGCUUAACCAUGUGAGGGUCGGUGGUUAAAUUAUAGUUUAUUUCUUCGGAUCAUUACCUAAAUUGAUUAGAUUCUAAAUUAAGGAUUUAUUUAUGAAGGUUUUACAGAAAUGCAAUGGAUUAUGAACAUUUUGUUUUGCGUUUGUUCUAAUCGAAUUGCUUGAUAUACAAUUAAUGUCACGCAAUUACAGCACCGCAUAAUGUCCUCAAAUCAAACAUUUUAUAUCUCUCUCUCAUCGAUAAAUUGGUUUUGUUUUUCAAAAGAUAAAGAAUCGGAUGCUUGGAUCAUGCAUCUCCUUCAUCCCAAAUACUUUUUGUCUCGAACUCAAAAAGUAUCAAUCUGCCAAAAUGUUGAUGCCAAAAUACACAUGGAUCUGAACUCCUGACCUAACCCGGUCUAAUCAUGAUUCAGACCUGACCAAUUUGUUAUCCAAU
rnacentral:lncRNA from 1 species